AUUGAGAUUUAACUGUAGUUAAAGGAAUACCUGCCUGGAGGGAACUAACAAUAUGGAAAAUGGCACAAAUGCAUCUAAAAGACCAAGUUUUCAGCAAUGUAACUACAUUAACUACAUCAUUGGCUUUGUGCAGACUGGUUAAAACCACU